GCCUACUGUUUAAUUUUGAAAGUUCUUUAUGAACUUCAUAUUUGGGGGUGUAGCUCAGUUGGGAGAGCACUUGCCUUGCAAGCAAGGGGUCAGGAGUUCGACUCUCCUCAUCUCCACCAUUUAAGAGCAUAUUACUUAAAUCUUUGAUUUAUCUAGUAGUCUCUUACAUUGCACUUUAAGCAACAGAAUAAGCUAAACUAAUGUGAAGUUUGUUUGUUGGCAUUGUGUGUUAGCACUUUGAAAACUGCAUAUAUAUUUAGUGAUAUGACAUCUAAUUUGUAAUAUAUAAAGCUAAUAACUUUUAAAAUUAUCGAAGUUGAUAGCUUCUAAUCUAUCAAACCUUUUUAACUGGUCAA
rnacentral:tRNA from 1 species